rnacentral:rRNA from 1 species
UACAGAGGUCUCGAGCGUUGUCCGGAAUCAUUGGGCGUAAAGCGCGUGUAGGCGGCCCGGUAAGUCCGCUGUGAAAGUCGGGGGCUCAACCCUCGAAUGCCGGUGGAUACUGUCGGGCUAGAGUACGGAAGAGGCGAGUGGAAUUCCUGGUGUAGCGGUGAAAUGCGCAGAUAUCAGGAGGAACACCAAUUGCGAAGGCAGCUCGCUGGGACGUUACUGACGCUGAGACGCGAAAGCGUGGGGAGCAAACAGG